GAGAUGUGGUUCUGCGCGUGUGCGGACGGCUGUCUGUUAACUCCGCGGUCAGUUCCCGGACUGGUGGCUGGUCUGCAGGGUUGACCUGCGCAAUGCAGAGGCUGCAGGUAGUGCUGGGCCACCUGAGGGGUCCGGCCGAUUCCGGCUGGAUGCCGCAGGCCGCGCCUUGCCUGAGCGGUGCCCCGCAGGCCUCGGCCGCGGACGUGGUGGUGGUGCACGGGCGGCGCACGGCCAUCUGCCGGGCGGGCCGCGGCGGCUUCAAGGACACCACCCCCGACGAGCUUCUCUCGGCAGUCAUGACCGCGGUUCUCAAGGACGUGAAUCUGAGGCCGGAACAGCUGGGGGACAUCUGUGUCGGAAAUGUGCUGCAGCCUGGGGCCGGGGCAAUCAUGGCCCGAAUCGCCCAGUUUCUGAGUGACAUCCCGGAGACUGUGCCUUUGUCCACUGUCAAUAGACAGUGUUCGUCGGGGCUACAGGCAGUGGCCAGCAUAGCAGGGUGGAGUCCAUGUCCCUGGCUGACAGAGGGAACCCUGGAAAUAUUACUUCGCGCUUGAUGGAGAAGGAGAAGGCCAGAGAUUGCCUGAUUCCUAUGGGGAUAACCUCUGAGAAUGUGGCUGAGCGGUUUGGCAUUUCACGGGAGAAGCAGGAUACCUUUGCCCUGGCUUCCCAGCAGAAGGCAGCAAGAGCCCAGAGCAAGGGCUGUUUCCAAGCUGAGAUUGUGCCUGUGACCACCACGGUCCAUGAUGACAAGGGCACCAAGAGGAGCAUCACUGUGACCCAGGAUGAGGGUAUCCGCCCCAGCACCACCAUGGAGGGCCUGGCCAAACUGAAGCCUGCCUUCAAGAAAGAUGGUUCUACCACAGCUGGUGAGACUGGUCCGGGGUAGGGGUAUGAGAAAGCAGGCCAUGGCCAUGCUGGGUGCUGUACUCUGGGAACCUGGAAUAGACCAGGCCCCUCUGCAAAGUAGAAGUGGGAGGGCUGGGAUCUCCUCAUCCCCACCCCGAUGCCUUCUUACCCCAACAGUUUGCCCCUAGGAAACUCUAGCCAGGUGAGUGAUGGGGCAGCUGCCAUCCUGCUGGCCCGGAGGUCCAAGGCAGAAGAGUUGGGCCUUCCCAUCCUUGGGGUCCUGAGGUCUUAUGCAGUGGUUGGGGUCCCACCUGACAUCAUGGGCAUUGGACCUGCCUAUGCCAUCCCAGUAGCUUUGCAAAAAGCAGGGCUGACAGUGAGUGACGUGGACAUCUUCGAGAUCAAUGAGGCCUUUGCAAGCCAGGCUGCCUACUGUGUGGAGAAGCUACGACUCCCCCCUGAGAAGGUGAACCCCCUGGGGGGUGCAGUGGCCUUAGGGCACCCACUGGGCUGCACUGGGGCACGACAGGUCAUCACGCUGCUCAAUGAGCUGAAGCGCCGUGGGAAGAGGGCAUACGGAGUGGUGUCCAUGUGCAUCGGGACUGGAAUGGGAGCCGCUGCCGUCUUUGAAUACCCUGGGAACUGAGUGAGGUCCCAGGCUGGAGGCGCUACGCAGACAGUCCUGCUGCUCUAGCAGCAAGGCAGUAACACCACAAAAGCAAAACCACAUGGGAAAACUCAGCACUGGUGGUGGUGGCAGUGGACAGAUCAAGGCACUUCAACUCAUUUGGAAAAUGUGAACACUGAUGACAUGGUAUAGGAGUGGGUGGGGUGUUGAGCCACCCAUCAGACCCUCUUUAGCUGUGCAAGAUAAAAGCAGCCUGGGUCACCCAGGCCACAAGGCCAUGGUUAAUUCUUAAGGCAAGGCAAAUCCAUGGAUGAGAAGUGCAAUGGGCAUAGUAAAAGUGCAUGAAUUUA